rnacentral:lncRNA from 1 species
CAAACCCUAUGGUUUAGUGUGCUGAACUAUAUUUCACUGAAGACAUGAGAGGGGGUGGAGGAAAUUCAGUGACUGAAUGAAACAACUGUAUGAGUGUGUGUGUGUGUGUGUGUGUGUGUGUGUGUGUGUGUGUGUGUAUGUGUGUGUGUGUAUGUGUGGGUAUUUGUGGUGCCUGUGUUCAAUCAUUAUCAUGCCAGAGUGUGUUUGUUUUGAGCUCUAACUCUCCGGGAAAAAAAAUAAAUACACCUUGGUGUGUCGACAGCAGAGAGAGACACUCCGGAAGGAAGUGAUGCAAUCAUUUCAAUUAAGAUGACUUAUAUACAGUCGUGCUCGGAGUUUCCUACAGCAUAUCCACACAUCCAGCUCUUACAGCCUCAACUCCCAGCUUCCACCCGUGGCUUGGAAUAGACUCCGGGUUCUCCUGUUUGCCUCCGCAGCCACUGAACCAGGACCACCGACAGAAGAUUUUUGUCACAUAAUCUCUGACACUAACGGACAAGAAGAAUGAAGAUUACCAUUACGUUUUGCCUGAUUGGAGCAAUUUUUGCCAACCCAGUAAGUAUAAGAUCCAGAAAAUAAAACUCUUAAGAUAUGCUUAUAAAUCUAAACAUUGUGCAAAUUAAAAUGCUUGCUUCAUUCUGCAGAUUAAUUCACAUAAUAUGUUAAUGGUAUAUCAUGUCGAAGAACCUAACAAGCUAAAUAGGAUUAGAUUCUAACAUUUAGCCAGUACUGUCUAGACUCUUCCACUUUUAAAAGCAUUGCUGUGAACGAUCCUCUUUGUGCUGCUCUCUUUUGUUGUAAUUGAUUCCAAUUUUGUCCUUGAUCGAUGAUUCCUUUCUUUCAGAUUUCCCAUAAUGUGGUUUUGGAAUCAAGCGAGUCAAACACGACUGAAAGUAUGUCUGUUUCACAAUCAUCUGAAAGUGACACUUCAGAGAUUAAGAGCUCUGAAGAGAAUUCCCCAAGCCAAAGUCAGAGUUCAGAGUCAGUAUCUGUGGAGACCACAUCAGAGGACACGGUGGGUUUUAACAUCGCUCUUUUUUUCACUUUACUGUUAUUAGUAAACUGUAAUUGCUGGGUUCAUGAACUGUGUAGUGCAAAUUUGAAUAAUACACGGUGAAGAAACAGAGAUAGUAAAAGACAGAAUGACAGAAAGAAAGAAAAAACACAUCCUUGGUGCAGAGAAGCCCAGUAAGAUUUCAGAGUGACAAAGCUAAAGAAAUACUCUAGUGUACUUGCCCUUUAACAAGCUCGUCACUGAAUGAACGGCGGCCAUUGAGAAGGCAAGGGAGUAAUAAGUGGUCUACUUUAACAUCUAAAAAAGAGAAUAAGAACUCAGACUAAAAUUUGAGCAAAAUGGUCAGCAUGUUACGGGACUUUCAUGAGACCUUUAAAAGUGUGAACUUGUGUGCUCAGUAUUAUUUUAAAGGAAUGUAUUCGGUUGUUGGUGCACAUUAGAGGAAGAGGGUCCACACUUCUCCAAUGUUUGCUCAUAUUUCAUGGCACACGUUCCUUUAUGGAUAGCGUGGAUCAAUACUCACACUCCAACGUGGAUGACGAGAGAGAAAUAGCUGCAUUAAAUGCUCACUGUACAAACCUGUUGCUGCAUUUAACUGUUGUAGAGAUAAAGCUGCAAACACUGCAUCAUUUUCUAAAAGGCUGUCAUUCUUUUCCGCAAACAGACUUCCGAGGAGAGUGAAAGUCAAUCAGUUGAGGACGACGAGGUAAGACCAAUGAAAUCAAGUUUUUUAUCAGACCC